GGGUCAAUGGUCUAGAGGUAUGAUUCCUGCUUUGGGCGUUUAACGAACAUGUGCAGGAGGUCCUGGGUUCAAUCCCCAGUUGGCCCC